GAGGGUAUGGCUCAGUGGGAGAGCGCGUGCUUAGCAUGCACGAGGGCCAGGGUUCAAUCCCCAACACUGCUA
rnacentral:tRNA from 1 species